GACGAACGCUGGCGGCGUGCCUAAUACAUGCAAGUAGAACGCUGAAGGAGGAGCUUGCUUCUCUGGAUGAGUUGCGCAAGGGGGAGUAACGCGCAGGGAACCUGCCCGGUAGCGGGGGAGAACAAUUGGAAAAGAUAGCUAAUACCGCAUAACAGUAGUUAACGCAUAAUAUCUACUUUAAAAGUGCAAUUUCAUCACUACCAGAGGGACCCGCGUUGUAUUAGCUAGUUGGUGAGGUAACGGCUCACCAAGGCGACGAUACAUAGCCGACCUGAGAGGGUGAUCGGCCACACUGGGACUGAGACACGGCCCAAACUCCUACGGGAGGCAGCAGUAGGGAAUCUUCGGCAAUGGACGGAAGUCUGACCGAGCAACGCCGCGUGAGUGAAGAAGGUUUUCGGAUCGUAAAGCUCUGUUGUAAGAGAAGAACGAGUGUGAGAGUGGAAAGUUCACACUGUGACGGUAUCUAACCAGAAAGGGACGGCUAACUACGUG
rnacentral:rRNA from 1 species